GAAAACUCUGUUUACGUAGCUGCAGCGCUGCACGCAAACGGCACCUGAGCCUACAUGAAAUGCCUGUCUAGUGCCUAGACCAAAGAGAUUGCCAUAGUUGUCUUGUGAGACUGCCUUUUAUGAAAUUAAUUGAAAUCUUCAUAAAUCCAGGCUCAGUUUGCCACGUAAAGUUAGCCUAAAUAAUCAGACAGCCAGUGUCACAAUCCUACUGUUGGGUAAUGUUAAGCUGGAGGGUAACUGGUUGUCGUGCUAACUGUGGGAGAGGCUCCCUUGAUUGGCCUUGAUUAUGGUCACCUGAGGGAUCCAAGAUGGCGGACAGAAGCAAGAUGGUGUCUGGAUAGACAGCAUGGUGCCCAGACUUGGUUACACUCAGAAACCAUAAGACUUUGUAAAACCUAUUUGCCCUUAUACAAGGACAGUACCAGAAUUAGAGAUUCCUACAGGGAACGUGACUACUCCUUUGUCGUGUAUGUCUGUCAAGUGUUUGUCAAUGCUAUAUGUCAAACAAUAACCAAACGGGACAGGCUACCGUUCACCCCAACGCUUGGGCUAUCCCUCAACAAGAGAGAGAAGGACCAGAGCUCGACAGGAACCCAGACCUCUGGACAGCCUCUGUGCCAUUCUGCGCCAGAUUUGGACUCGUCCUCGUUGUCCACCUCUGCCCCGUAUUCCCCCUCGUUUCUCCAGUUUCUCAGAUGGCGUCACUCAUCCAACCACUGACAACAAAAGUGAGGGAUCGACGCAGUCACCCGGAGAAUUGGGAUGCAGACUCAUUGGACUAGACGGUGUGGACAAAACCUAGGGGUGGCAAUUCCGCUUUGGAAAACAAGCAAAGUUUUGUUUUCUUCGAAAAAUGCAAAAAGUGUUCAAAAUAUAAAUGAAUGUUUAAAAAAUAGUAGUCUUGGGAUGUGGGGCGCCGAUGUUUCGGAGCGUGUAUCGAGUAAUCAAGAAAGUGUAUUGAGGCAUGUAUCAUUUGGGGGCGGUGCCGUUAUUGAUGACAUAUGAAGACUUGCUGGUUCAGGAGAUGGUUUGAAAUGUGGGCACGAUUCACUAACACAUAAAAGCGUCAUUGCGUCCCCUGCCUCUUCAGCGCGAUUUUACGUUUUGGUGAGUUUCGGCGUGAGUUUUGGAGACAGUUUCAGUGAGUGUUUCAGUUUUGCUAUUGUUUUCAUGGAGCAUGCAAUAAAGCGAAAAAAUUCCCCGGUAUGGGAACCCUUUGAUCUAAUUUAUCCUAAUAAGUUAAGUGUUUACUCAUCUUGUAUGUUGAUUAUGGUAGCCUAUUUCACACUUGCCAAAUUCACACCAUCACCAUCCAAAUGCUCCAGAGGAUGGUAGACCAAAGGGAGCCUGUUGGGGCAGCUCUUGGUGGCUUGGUCAGUGACAUCCCUGUAUUGAAAUCCGAGGAAUACGAAGCAACUGUGGAGCUUUCAGAGGAUAAAAGAGUGUCGGGCUCAAAGGUAAUUCCACUGCUCAAAAAACAAGAGGCAGCAAUGAGGAGCACUAAAUCACUGGCUACAGAGUUGGGAGAGCACCUCAUCAAGCUUGUCAGGGAAAAGCUACAUACUUUACAGAGCUCUAGUAAUAAUUUACUUCCUACAUCUACAAUCAUCUCCAGCAGCUUCGAAAAUCAACUUCAUCACAUAAUGUAGUUGAAAGACCUGUUCAUAUUUUUUUAUUAAGUCAAUUUAGAUUAAUU
ensembl:lncRNA